UAGGGAAUCUUCCGCAAUGGGCGAAAGCCUGACGGAGCAACGCCGCGUGAGUGAUGAAGGUCUUCGGAUCGUAAAACUCUGUUAUUAGGGAAGAACAUAUGUGUAAGUAACUGUGCACAUCUUGACGGUACCUAAUCAGAAAGCCAUGGCUAACUACGUGCCAGCAGCCGCGGUAAUACGUAGGUGGCAAGCGUUAUCCGGAAUUAUUGGGCGUAAAGCGCGCGUAGGCGGUUUUUUAAGUCUGAUGUGAAAGCCCACGGCUCAACCGUGGAGGGUCAUUGGAAACUGGAAAACUUGAGUGCAGAAGAGGAAAGUGGAAUUCCAUGUGUAGCGGUGAAAUGCGCAGAGAUAUGGAGGAACACCAGUGGCGAAGGCGACUUUCUGGUCUGUAACUGACGCUGAUGUGCGAAAGCGUGGGGAUCAAACA
rnacentral:rRNA from 1 species